rnacentral:rRNA from 1 species
UACGUAGGGUGCAAGCGUUGUCCGGAAUUAUUGGGCGUAAAGAGCUCGUAGGCGGUCUGUCGCGUCGGCUGUGAAAACCCGAGGCUCAACCUCGGGCCUGCAUUCGAUACGGGCAGACUAGAGUUCGGUAGGGGAGUCUGGAAUUCCUGGUGUAGCGGUGAAAUGCGCAGAUAUCAGGAGGAACACCGGUGGCGAAGGCGGGACUCUGGGCCGAUACUGACGCUGAGGAGCGAAAGCGUGGGGAGCAAACAGG